rnacentral:rRNA from 1 species
CCUACGGGUGGCAGCAGUCGAGAAUCAUUCACAAUGGGGGAAACCCUGAUGGUGCGACGCCGCGUGGGGGAAUGAAGGUCUUCGGAUUGUAAACCCCUGUCAUGUGGGGGCAAAUUAAAAAGAUAGUACCACAAGAGGAAGAGACGGCUAACUCUGUGCCAGCAGCCGCGGUAAUACAGAGGUCUCAAGCGUUGUUCGGAAUCACUGGGCGUAAGGCGUGCGUAGGCUGUUUCGUAAGUCGUGUGUGAAAGGCGCGGGCUCAACCCGCGGACGGCACAUGAUACUGCGAGACUAGAGUAAUGGAGGGGGAACCGGAAUUCGCGGUGUAGCAGUGAAAUGCGUAGAUAUCGAGAGGAACACUCGUGGCGAAGGCGGGUUCCUGGACAUUAACUGACGCUGAGGCACGAAGGCCAGGGGAGCGAAAGGGAUUAGAUACCCUUGUAGUC